GCCUGAGAAACUGGUUGCAGAGCCCGCUCUUCCUAGCCUACUGCCCGAAAACGCAGAAUUUGGGGAAUUGGAACUUUGGAGGCGGGAGCGAAAGACCUCUCCUUCUCCCGCCGGAAAUACCCCUCUUUUGGGAAGCGCGCCCCUGCCUUCCGGAAAGGAAGAAACGUGAUCACGCCGCUGCACUCAAGCCUCUGGGUGAUAGAGCGAGAAGACCCUGUCUCCAAAACACAAACACACAAACAAACAAAAAGGCCAGAGCACUACAGUGAGGUCCCAAGCUCUGUCCUGUAAACCACAGGUAAAAUUCUAAGGCCCCUCCACAACCAUCUGAAUGGGCCCCUCUUCUUGGCUAAGGACAUUCCCAAGUAAAUCUGAAAAUCUAGUUCAGGACAUGACGGAAGAGCAGGUCACACAAGCAUCAUUAUAACUUCCUCCCUUUUGGAAUUCAGGAAAAGCCAACCAGCAUUAACAUCAACACAGAUCUUAAGUCUGGUAAGAAACAUUUACAAUCUAUUUUCUCUGAAGUUUGCUACCUGGAAGCUUCAUCUGCCUGAUAAAACCUUGGUCUCUACAACCCCUUAUCAAAACCCA
rnacentral:lncRNA from 10 species